rnacentral:rRNA from 1 species
UACGUAGGGGGCAAGCGUUGUCCGGAAUCAUUGGGCGUAAAGCGCGUGUAGGCGGCUAGGUAAGUCUGCUCUGAAAGCCCGGGGCUCAACCCCCGGGAGGCGGGUGGAUACUGUCUAGCUCGAGUCCGGAAGAGGAGUGUGGAAUUCCUGGUGGUAGCGGUGAAAUGCGCAGAUAUCAGGAGGAACACCAAUGGCGAAGGCAGCACUCUGGGACGUGACUGACGCUGAGACGCGAAAGCGUGGGGAGCAAACAGGAU